rnacentral:rRNA from 1 species
UACGUAGGGGGCGAGCGUUGUCUGGAGUUACUGGGCGUAAAGCGCACGCAGGCGGUCUGUUAAGUUUGGAGUGACAGUUGGUGGCUCAACCACCAAAGUGCUUUGAAAACUGAUAGACUUGAGGGCUUCAGAGGGACACGGAAUCCGGGUGGAGUGGUGAAAUGCGUAGAGAUCCGGAGGAACACCAAAGGCGAAGGCAGUGUCCUGGGGGAGUAC